CAAAACAAUGAAAAUUCAUUUGAUGUCCUAGAUAUAUAUUCAAUUUGAACACUCAAAAAUGUCCCACUGAUCACUUGAUGUGAUUAAUCUUUGAACAAUGUGGUCCUGUAACUCAUAAGAUUUUUAUUGGUUACUUUACUUUUUUGUUAUCCUGUGCUGGGAUUUGAGAAAGAUUUUCUAAUUUGAAAUUAACUAUAGAUAUUGUUUGUAAAGAACAGCUCCAUUGACCAUCUGGAAUUUGUAUACAUGUACUGUCAGGUUGGCCAAUCAUUUCUAUAACAGUAAAAAACUGUUGUCUGUUACCGGUAUGUGAGCUUGUAUCAUUUCUUUCAUCAGUAUUGAUAGUUUCAGUGAUUUGUAUUUGAUGUCAUCAAGUGCUGUACUUUUUUUAAACCUUUGUACACCAACAGUAUACUUUUAUGGUAAUCGUUUAACUUAGCAUUUCCAUGGAUAUACUUGUGUAAGUCACUAUCAAUCUGUGCAAUUCCUCAAUGAAUGGCGGAUUAAACGCAAGGGCUACAACUCUGUGAAAUCAUUUUAAUUUUGAUACAUUGAGCAGAUGUAUGGUAUUAAUUUAUUUGUGCAUUGAGUAUUAUAUAUACCAAAGGGGGCUGUUCAUUUCUCAACUUUCAUGAUAAAUUCACUCAUAAAAAAUUAACUCUCAGUGCCUACAAAUGCAUUUACACUGUAAAUAUAUGAUAAUGUAGAGCUCCUUUAGUAUGGUAUCCUCAGAGAUAUCAGUUUGCUGACAUAGGGAAGUAUUUUUUGCGGUCAUCAAUAACAUUCUUUACUAUUCCAUUGGCAUGUAAAAAUUUUUUGGCAAGACAAGCUUUAUCUAAUAACAAGUUGUUGAAGGUACCUUUAAUUCAAAAUGUCAAACAGAAAUUAUUUUUGUAGAGUUAUUAUUUUAAUUUGAAUCCUCUACUUUACAACCUGGAAAUUUUAGUUUUUAAGGUUGGGUUUUAUAGUUACAAUGUAAUAAUUCAAUUAGCAUACUCUUGUGGUCUUAAAAAAGGAAACAUGUAAAUAUCAUUAAUUGAAUCAAAGAUGGAGUUAAUUUCCAAGACCCUAAGGACUUCCUGUAUUAAAUCAAUUUUUUCUUUAUAUAAUCUGUCUGAAUCUCUCAUAAUAUUAUACAUAAACAUAAGUUUCCAGGUACAGUUUCCACCACAGGGUAAUUUAUAUAAUUUGUAUAUUUUCAGGGUUUUAUGUUUUUUUCAUAAAAUGCAAUUGUUUAAUUAAUACAGGUGCAGAGAACUUGAACUCUCUCUCCAUUUAUAAAUCUGAAGCUGUUUUGUAUGUGUACCAAGCCUGCAGAACAGGAAACUAUUUUAAAAGUACAUAUCUUUGUACUUAGAAUCCUGGAAAGAGUUUGUGUUUGUUGUGAGUUUAACAUAUACAGGUAUUAUUUAUUGUACAUCUCACAUUCUUUUGAGUUAAAAACUCCAUUUUUGUAAAUAUUUUAUUUGAAUGAGAAUACAUGUAGAGAGAGGGUCCGAGUUCAACUGAUUGCAUUUACAUGAGGAUAUUUGAGAGGUUUAAUUGUUAUAAUGAUCAAUACAGUACAAGAUGUAAUUAUCCAUAGUACUGCACAGACUCAUCAAAUACAAUGUCAUGUAUGUAAUGAUGUUGACCAGUCAAAAUAAAUGUUCUUACCAAGUUUACAUGUUCAUCAUACAAUAAAUGACUGUUUAC
rnacentral:misc_RNA from 1 species